CUUGUUGGUUCAUUGCCAUUUAUUUACAGCCAUGUUCUAUGGGAUUUGCUACUGGUGGAAAAACAUUCUUUCUGUGGGGAGGAUGCAUGAUGAUGCAUGCGAACAAUUUUAGAACCGACCGCCAUUGUGUAGUGUCAGGGCUUCGAGAUGGGGGCUACUCAGAUGACAUGACUCUAGCAGCUAUAGCAGGUAAAGCUUACCUCCAGUUUCUCAUUCCUAAAUAAAUAUUACGGCACAAGAGUGGCAAUGUAGCUGGUGCGUAUCCUCCUUGAUGCUGUUGUGAUAGUCGAAAUUCAUGGAAAAUAGAAUUUUGAGUCAUUUUCUUAUUCUACAACUUAUGACAUUUUAAGAAUUGUCCUUA